GGUACAGAGGGCGAGCCACCCAGUGAUGGGGAGCGAAUCUCGAAAGCCUAUCUCAGUUCGGAUUGGAGGCUGAAACUCGCCUCCAUGAAGUUGGAUUCGCUAGUAAUCGCGCAUCAGCCAUGGCGCGGUGAAUACGUUCCCGGGCCUUGUACACACCGCCCGUCAAGCCAUGGGAGUUGGGGGUGCCUGAAGUUCGUGACCGAAAGGAGCGACCUAGGGCAAAACCGAUGACUGGGGCUAAGUCGUAACAAGGUAAC
rnacentral:rRNA from 1 species